GGCCAUUUAGUCUAGAGGUACGAUACUUGCUUUGGGACACGCUUGCAAGUGGCCUGGGUUCGAUUCCCAGAAUGGCCC